GAAUUUAAUAAAAUAAUUUAAAUAAGUUUAUUUAAAUUAUUUUAUUUAAUUGGGAGGAUUUUUAAAUUUAUAUAACUUUAAAUAAUAAUUAAACAUUAAUUUAUGAAAUUUAUUAAAUAAAUAAAUAUUAUUUAAAUAAAAAUUAAUUACCUUAGGGAUAACAGCAUAAAAUUUUUUUUUAGAUCUUAUAUAUAAAAAUAUUUGU
rnacentral:rRNA from 1 species